rnacentral:ncRNA from 1 species
CUAUAUUGGCAAACCCGGAGUAAUCCGGCGACGCAAAGCUAUAGGGUCCUACUUACUAAAUAGGGCAGCCAGUUGC